rnacentral:tRNA from 2 species
UCCCUAAGACUCAAGGAAGAAGCUAUAGCCCCACUAUCAACACCCAAAGCUGAAGUUCUAAUUAAACUAUUCCCUGGC